AUGGGCUCUCACACCAGAACUUUCUUAGGCAGCUGCCUGCACCCUGGGCUGGAGAGCUGUGGAAAGGCCUGUCUGCUGCUGAUUCGAUGUGCUGUCACAGGAUUCAGGACUUUCCUGCAAGCCACAGGGCGAGGACAUGAAAUUGGGGCAGCACACUAUAUGAAGACAUGUUUUACUCGGGGCUGGUUCAAUUCCACUCAACACACAUUUAUUGAGCUUCUAUUUAUGCCAGGCACUAGGGAAAUAAAGAUGAACAUCCCUGAAGCACUUUAAGUCAUAUAAAAGGUAAAAAAAAUCUAUUAACAGAUAAUGUCAAUGUCAUGUAAUGUGAAGAAAAAAAAAUUAAGAACCUGGACAAAAUAUGGCACAAAAAAAGGAUUUUUCGGCAGUGGGGAUACCAGCCAUGGUAGUUGAUAUUUUAUAGCUGGAUUCUUACAUUUGGAAAGGCCUGAGAAAACUCUUAAGUUUCGAUAACAUUGUACUGGGUACGGUAAAUAAAUGGAAUUAAAUUGUGAAUGUAUGGCUGUAUGCAUGUAUUCAUUCGUUCGUUCAUUCAGUGGGACUAAAGACUGAACCCAGGGCAUUGGCACUGAGCUAUUUUCUAGCCCUCUCCUCACUUUUCAUUUUGAGACAGUGUCUCACAGAAUUGUCCAGGUUGAGCUCAAACUUAGAAUUCUCCCACCUCAGCCUCUCAGAGUGCUGGGAUUACUUUCAUACACCAUCAUGCCCAUUUGGUCAUGGUUGUAUGGCACUGGCUCUCCAUGGGCAGUAGAGCAGGAGAAAGCACUUAGAAGCAUCUGUACUUGGGCUGGGGCUGUAGCUCAGUGGUACAGCCUGUGCUUACCAUGAAUGAGGCCCUGGGUUCAAUUCUCAGCACUGAAAAAAAAAAAUCUAUACUUUACGGCAUGACUUACUCAUCAGCAUGGUAACAUUAAAACUUUCCCUUUUAAAUCCCAAAUUGCCUAAAAUAAAUUGGCAAAGCCAAAGCCUACAGCUCUGAAAACAUAUACACAAUAUUAGAGCUGGUCACUCUAUUUCACAAAUGUAGUUUGCACAGUUCAUCCCCUAUUUUACCAAACAAUCCUUACUGUGCAUUUACUACUUAGCAAGUGACUGGAAGGAAAUACAGCUGAACUGUUUUAUCAUGAAGAUAAUGUACAUUUUCCUCACAAUACAGCUAGAAAGAACAUCUACAAAACUGAUUUUUUGCUGGUUUUUUGGUUAAUGAUUGAAAAGACUAUGUCAGAAAUGGGAGCUCUAUUUAUUUUCUUUAGAAGCCACUUUGAAGAUACCAAAGUAUAGUACAACAACUC
ensembl:lincRNA